rnacentral:ncRNA from 1 species
AUUCACGUUUGUGACUGUGAGUGUGGCUAACACUAAUUAGCCACUGUUGCUGAUUGUUGGGAAGGUGUAGGGAUAACCCUAAAAGGGUUUUCCUGCAUAACGGGCAUCUCAAAAAGAUGCCC